rnacentral:rRNA from 1 species
AAAGGAACUGACGGGGGCUCACACAAGCGGCGGAGCAUGUGGUCUAAUUCGAAGCAACGCGCAGAACCUUACCUGGGCUAGACAUGCUAGGAUUAUCUCGGUGAAAGUCGAGUAGGCCCCGCAAGGGGUACAACUAGUACAGGUGCUGCAUGGCUGUCGUCAGCUCGUGUCGUGAGAUGUCGGGUUAAGUCCCUUAACGAGCGAAACCUUUGCCCUUAGUUACCAGCGGGUUAUGCCGGGGACUCUAAGGGGACUGCCGGUGUCAAACCGGAGGAAGGUGGAGAUGACGUCAAGUCCUCAUGGCCUUUAUGCCCAGGGCCACACACGUGCUACAAUGGGGUGCACAGAGCGAACCGAGAGCGCAAGCUAGAGGAAAUCGCAUAAAUCACCCCCCAGUUCAGAUCGGAGGCUGCAACUCGCCUCCGUGAAGUUGGAAUCGCUAGUAAUCGCGGAUCAGCUACGCCGCGGUGAAUGUGUUCCUGAGCCG